rnacentral:rRNA from 1 species
ACGGGACAACAUUCCGAAAGGAGUGCUAAUACCGGAUGUGAUCAUCUUGCCGCAUGGCAGGAUGAAGAAAGAUGGCCUCUACAAGUAAGCUAUCGCUAAAGGAUGGGCCUGCGUCUGAUUAGCUAGUUGGUAGUGUAACGGACUACCAAGGCGAUGAUCAGUAGCCGGUCUGAGAGGAUGAACGGCCACAUUGGGACUGAGACACGGCCCAA